rnacentral:rRNA from 1 species
UACGGAGGGUGCGAGCGUUGUCCGGAAUCACUGGGCGUAAAGGGCGCGUAGGCGGCAGGCCAAGCGUGCGGUGAAAGUCCGGGGCUCAACCCCGGAUCUGCCGUGCGGACUGGUUUGCUAGAGCACUGUAGAGGCGAGUGGAAUUCCGGGUGUAGCGGUGGAAUGCGUAGAUAUCAGGAAGAACAUCGGUGGCGAAGGCGCUCUGCUGGACCAUAACUGACACUCAGGGACGAAAGCUAGGGGAGCGAAGGGG